rnacentral:tRNA from 1 species
GCUCAGGUGGUGGAAUCGGUAGACACGCAGGACUUAAAAUCCUGUGGCCUCAACAGCCGUGCGGGUUCGAGUCCCGCCCCGAGCA